rnacentral:rRNA from 1 species
GAUGAACGCUGGCGGCGUGCUUAACACAUGCAAGUCGAACGAUGAAGCCCAGCUUGCUGGGUGGAUUAGUGGCGAACGGGUGAGUAACACGUGAGUAACCUGCCCUUAACUCUGGGAUAAGCCUGGGAAACUGGGUCUAAUACCGGAUAGGAGCGCCCACCGCAUGGUGGGUGUUGGAAAGAUUUAUCGGUUUUGGAUGGACUCGCGGCCUAUCAGCUUGUUGGUGAGGUAAUGGCUCACCAAGGCGACGACGGGUAGCCGGCCUGAGAGGGUGACCGGCCACACUGGGACUGAGACACGGCCCAGACUCCUACGGGAGGCAGCAGUGGGGAAUAUUGCACAAUGGGCGAAAGCCUGAUGCAGCGACGCCGCGUGAGGGAUGACGGCCUUCGGGUUGUAAACCUCUUUCAGUAGGGAAGAAGCGAAAGUGACGGUACCUGCAGAAGAAGCACCGGCUAACUACGUG